rnacentral:rRNA from 1 species
AUACGGAGGGUGCAAGCGUUAUUCGGAAUCACUGGGUGUAAAGGACGCGUAGGCGGGUUGGCAAGUCAGAUGUGAAAUCCUACAGCUUAACUGUCGAACUGCAUUUGAAACUGCUAACCUAGAGUAUGGGAGGGGGAGAUGGAAUUAGUGGUGUAGGGGUAAAAUCCGUAGAUAUCACUAGGAAUACCGAAAGCGAAGGCGAUCUCCUGGAACAUAACUGACGCUAAGGCGUGAAAGCGUGGGGAGCAAACAGGAUUAGAAACCCUAGUAGUCC